GUGCUCACUUUGGCAGUACAUAUACUAAAACUGGAACAAUACAGAGAAGAUUAGUGUGGCCUCUACGCAAAGAUGACACACAAAUUCACGAAGCAUUCCAUAUUUUU
ensembl:snRNA U6 U6 spliceosomal RNA